CUAAUGAAUAUUUUAUAAGUGUUUUUUCAAAAUUGUUGCUUAAGAUAAAAUAAUAUAAUAAUAUUAAAACGUUGUUCGUUAUAUAACACAAAAAAUUAUUUUAUCUAAGUUGCUGUAGUCCGAUUAUAUUUUGCCUAUUUGAAUUAUAGAAAAAGUUGUAUAAUUUAAAAAAUUAUAUAAUAGUCAUAUAUAAUAAUUAAUAAUACGAUUGUAGCACUUUUUUAGAUUCUAAGCUCAGCGAGACAUGUAUUGGUUUUACUAUGAUCAGUGCUU